CCAACGGCCCUCUUUAGGGCCACAAAUGCAAUGUAAUCCAGUUUU
rfam:Caenorhabditis elegans chromosome V